rnacentral:tRNA from 2 species
AAGACUCUAGUAAAGUGGCCAUUACACUGCUUUGUCAAGGCAGCAUCGUGGGUUAAAACCCCACGGGUCUUA